UACGGAGGGGGCGAGCGUUGUUCGGAAUCAUUGGGCGUAAAGGGCGCGUCGGCGGCCUAGCAAGGCAGGGGUGAAAUCCCUCGGCUCAACCGAGGAACUGCCUCUGAAACUGCUUGGCUAGAGACCGGGAGAGGGUAGUGGAAUUCCCAGUGUCGCGGUGAAAUGCGUAGAUAUUGGGAGGAACCCCAGUGGCGAAGGCGGCUACCUGGACCGGUUCUGACGCUGAGGCGCGAAAGUGUGGGGAGCAAACAGG
rnacentral:rRNA from 1 species